UACGGGGGGAGCAAGCGUUGUUCGGAAUCACUGGGCGAAAGGGAGUCUAGGCGGUUUGGUAAGUGGGAUGUGAAAUGCCCCGGCUCACCCGGGGACCUGCAUCCCAAACUGCUGAGCUUGAGUACAGGAGAGGGUGGGGAAUUCCAGGUGUAGCGGUGAAAUGCGUAGAUAUCUGGAGGAACACCGGUGGCGAAGGCGGCAUCCUGGACCAAUAUUGACGCUGAGGAGCGAAAGCUAGGGGAGCAAACGGG
rnacentral:rRNA from 1 species